UACGUAGGGUGCAAGCGUUGUCCGGAAUUAUUGGGCGUAAAGAGCGUGUAGGCGGCCUCGUAAGUCCGCUGUGAAAGUCCAGGGCUCAACCCUGGAAAGCCGGUGGAUACUGCGAGGCUAGAGUCCGGAAGGGGCGAGUGGAAUUCCUGGUGUAGCGGUGAAAUGCGCAGAUAUCAGGAGGAACCCCCAUGGCGAAGGCAGCCCGGUGGGACGGUACUGACGCUGAGACGCGAAAGCGUGGGGAGCAAACAGG
rnacentral:rRNA from 1 species